rnacentral:rRNA from 1 species
UACAGAGGUCUCGAGCGUUGUUCGGAUUCAUUGGGCGUAAAGGGUGCGUAGGUGGCGCUGUAAGUCGGGUGUGAAAUCCUGAGGCUUAACCUCGGAACUGCAUUCGAUACUGCGGCGCUUGAGGACUGGAGAGGAGACUGGAAUUCAUGGUGUAGCAGUGAAAUGCGUAGAGAUCAUGAGGAAGACCAGUGGCGAAGGCGGGUCUCUGGACAGUUCCUGACACUGAGGCACGAAAGCCAGGGGAGCAAACAGG